rnacentral:rRNA from 1 species
AUUGAACGCUGGCGGCAUGCCUUACACAUGCAAGUCGAACGGCAGCAUGAUCUAGCUUGCUAGAUUGAUGGCGAGUGGCGAACGGGUGAGUAAUACAUCGGAACGUGCCCUGUAGUGGGGGAUAACUAGUCGAAAGAUUAGCUAAUACCGCAUACGACCUGAGGGUGAAAGUGGGGGACCGCAAGGCCUCAUGCUAUAGGAGCGGCCGAUGUCUGAUUAGCUAGUUGGUGAGGUAAAGGCUCACCAAGGCGACGAUCAGUAGCUGGUCUGAGAGGACGAUCAGCCACACUGGGACUGAGACACGGCCCAGACUCCUACGGGAGGCAGCAGUGGGGAAUUUUGGACAAUGGGCGAAAGCCUGAUCCAGCAAUGCCGCGUGUGUGAAGAAGGCCUUCGGGUUGUAAAGCACUUUUGUCAGGAAAGAAAUGGCUCUGGUUAAUACCUGGGGUCGAUGACGGUACCGGAAGAAUAAGGACCGGCUAACUACGUG